GACUUUGUCAAGUCUUUGGGGAACAUUCAACGCUGUCGGUGAGUUUUGUCUCCGAAAAACCAUCGACUGUUGAGUGUACCCUGACACUUGAGCUCCC
rnacentral:pre_miRNA from 1 species